rnacentral:rRNA from 1 species
GACGAAGGAUGGAAGCGUUAUCCGGAUUCAUUGGGUUUAAAGGGUGCGUAGGCGGCCCGGUAAGUCAGUGGUGAAAUCUCCUUGCUUAACAAGGAAACUGCCAUUGAUACUGCUGGGCUUGAGUACAGAUGCUGUGGGCGGAAUAUGACAUGUAGUGGUGAAAUACAUAGAGAUGUCAUAGAACACCGAUUGCGAAGGCAGCUCACAAAACUGUAACUGACGCUGAGGCACGAAAGUGCGGGGAUCAAACAGG